rfam:Myotis davidii contig182595, whole genome shotgun sequence.
AGCAGUUCUCAAGUGACACACCCUGGAAUCAGGCUCCCUCCUCUCUGGUUCCGGGUGCAUCACCUGAGAACCACA